UACGUAGGGGGCAAGCGUUGUCCGGAAUCAUUGGGCGUAAAGAGCGUGUAGGCGGCCCGGUAAGUCCGCUGUGAAAGUCCAGGGCUCAACCCUGGAAUGCCGGUGGAAACUGUCGGGCUAGAGUCCGGAAGAGGCGAGUGGAAUUCCUGGUGUAGCGGUGAAAUGCGCAGAUAUCAGGAGGAACACCAAUAGCGAAGGCAGCUCGCUGGGACGGUACUGACGCUGAGACGCGAAAGCGUGGGGAGCAAACAGG
rnacentral:rRNA from 1 species